AACUUUUAUUUUGGAAAAAGAACUGCUGCUGUUUCAAGACAUGCGCACUAGCUGCGACAUCUAGUGACGACAUUUACCGGGCUUUAACGGUUGUUGCUGCAUGAAGUCUGCUGCAAUUUCUCUGAGAUUUCUCAAGAUCAUCAGUUUGGACAGAAUUCAUUUGAAGAAUUAAUAGCACUAGCAGGUUCCAAUAAAGGCUGGAACAGAACAGACAGAAAAGAAUCUGUCAGAAGAAAUUCAACUACUGUUCGUGCACCAGAUGGUGAAGUAGAAAAGUUCGUAAAAACUUCUGCAGCUUGCAUCUGACAGAGUUGCAAAAAGAAUAAGAGAGCGGGCCUGAAAACAAGCAAAUUCAAGGUAUUUCAAUUGUUGUUAAAGGGAUAGUUCAAUAGAUAUUCUUUCAUCAUUUACUCAUCCUCAUGUUGUUCUAAAUCUGCAUGAUUUUUUCUGAUGAACACAAAUUAAGAUGUUUUGCGUAAUGAUGGUAAAAACACAGCACAUUGUAACCAUUGACUUCCAUAGUAGGAAAAAGUAUUUUGAAAGUAUUGUGAUAUAUGAUGAAGAAAAUAUUUUGAUAAAUGAUGGUUAGCACACAGGUGACGGUACCCAUUAAAUUCCAUCAUAUUUUUUUAUUCCUUCUAUGGAAGUCAAUGGUUACAAUCUGCUGUGUGUUUACCAUCAUUCCUCAAAAUAUCUUCUUUUGUGUUCAUCAGAAAAAAUUCAUACAGGUUUAAAGGUAGGGUAACACAUUUUGAAAAAUGCUAACGGUAGCCGCCUAGUAAUGAAAUCACGAUCCCACCCUUAAGUCAAAUCGCCAUCCAAAGUCACGCCUCUUUCAAAACACAUGAACAUGCACAGAUCAGACGGUCACAUUUCAUGUCUCAUUCACCAGUGA